GGACGAGAGCUGUGGCAAGGGGUGAAAAGCCAAUCUAACCUGGAGAUAGCUGGUCUUCUGCGAAACCCGUUUUAGCGGGUCGCCCAUUUAUUGAAAUUAAAUUCGUUACUAGACGGUACGGCACUGGAAGCCACGCAGCUUUUGCUGCAUAAUCGGGGGGCUGUCAUGGCUCUAUCGAUGGCUUCUAACCCCGGAAAUGUAUAGUAUACAAUGAUGGGCAAUCAGACGUAUCGUGAUAAGGCGAUUCGUCAAAAGGGCAACAGCCCAGAACAGGUGUGAAGGUCCCUAACAAGCUACUGAGUGAACACAAGGCAGUCCUCUCCAGUGUCUCUCCACAAAGUGGGCUUGGAAGCAGCCACCUUUUAGCGAUAGCGUAACAGCUCAGUGGUCUGAGCCUCCCUGUAAAAAGGGUAUAUUGCCUGGUGAGGGCGCCAAAAAUGUAACGGGUCUAUAGUAGUUGUCUCUCUGUUCCAGCUUUGGAUAUGGAGGGAGUGGCAGUUUCUUUACUGUCUCACCGAAACCCUGUCCUAGAUGUAAAAUUCUAGGGGUAGCAGAAUACCCAGCAAAUGGAAUGAAGCUUGCUCAUUGAGCCGGUGGACAUAGCUGGGCUAAGAAUGCUGACAUGAGUAGCCUAAAAGGAGGGUAAUUCCCUCUUCGCCGAAAGCAGAAGGGUUUCAUUUGUAAGGUCUAUACCUAGAUGAUUAAAGCAGCGGCCUCUAAGGUUCAGAGUAACAAAUUAGUUCCGAUGAGUAACUCUUCUAUAGGGCAGUAACCUUCCUUAUAAGUUUACCUUCAAGUAAUUAGAGGUAUACUUCAAAGAGUAAGGUUCGGGAAAGAGCCCUAUAGAAUCAAUCUUAAAACCGUACCCUAAACCGACACAGGUCUGCAAGUAGAGCAUACUAAGGCGUAGAGAUAAUCGUCUUGAAGGAACUCGGCAAAAUGACCCCGUAACUUCGGGAGAAGGGGUGCCACUAAUAAGUGGCGGCACUAAACAGGGGGGCGCGACUGUUUACUUAAAA
rnacentral:rRNA from 1 species